rnacentral:misc_RNA from 1 species
GCAUUUACGGACUUUUGAUCAGCGAGAUCGACAGUAGCGGUGCCAGGAUUUUUUGCUAAGUAGAGCAAACGGAAGCCAACAAUUUUAAGAAAUGACUUGCGAAUAUAUACCCGAUCCUAGAGGCAAAAGACAUAUAUGGCAUGAACCUAAAGUAAUAAAACAAGCUAUGUUCCCUAUCCAAAAGGGUAACUCGAUUAGGUCAGUUUCCAAAACUACUGGCAUACCCUACAGUGUACUGCAAUGCUACUAUAAAAAAUACAAGACUAACAAUAAUGUGGUAGUAAACAAAAUUGGUGGUCAAACUACUCUUCCUGUGAGUAUGGAGCUAACGUUAGUAGCCAACAUAAUUAAAAUGUGCUGAUUGGAGUUAUCAAAACUAGAACUAAGAAUAUUAGCCCGCCAUACACGAUGGGAUUUUUUGACGGAUUUGGCUCUCGAAGGAUCAAGUCCGCUGGUAAAUCCGCUCAUGUGUGGUGAUCACUGGAUGAAAUCCGUUUGGUAUACAAAAUCCGACGGAACAAGCCCUACAGAUCGAAUCUUUGAUCGGCCACUAAUUGACAAGGAUCGGAUUCUACAGAAUAAAUAUUGAUAAAUGAAUUCUCACGUUAUCACCUAUUUUUCUUAUCCACAAUAUUAUCAAAUAUUCAAAUUUCUAACUGUAAUCUCAGAAGCUGCUGACGAUUAAACGGCAAAAAAGUUAUAAUUUGAGAUAAUCUUAGUUCACAUUUAUAAUCUGAAGUUAUACAAUUAAGUGAAAAACAUUCUGUUGACUUAAUUUUUCUGCUACCAAAUUCAACACAUUUUAAGGCAGCUCCUUGAUGUUGUCUUUUUUCGGUGAUUGAAAGGAGCAUGAAGAAAUGUUCUUAAAAAUUAGAAAACAUGUAGUAGAAAUGGAUUUGAAAAAACUGGAAUAUACCCACUAAACAAAAAGAAAGUUUUAAAUAUGUUGCUACCAGAUACUGAAAAUGAUAGUUCAUCAAUAAAUGACACUUCUUUAGUGUCAGAAAUUUUAGCUACAUUUUUGAAAAAAUCAAAGAAUGGAACACCUGACUCAACUAAAAAACAUAGGAAGAAAAGAUUAAAGGUUCAACUAGGAAAAAGCAUAAAAGGGAUGACCCAGGAUAAGUGAACUUUGAUGAAGCUGAUAAACCAGUGGACAUUGAAAUGAUAAUCAAUGAAGCCAAAGAUAAACAAAGGCCAAACUCAAAUUUAAUUAAUGUAGGCCAAAUGUCUAGUAUUAUAAAAAAUAAUAUCAAAGAAGGCUUAUGGGUCGUCGUAAGUAUGGCGAAACUAAGAAAUUAUAUUUUGUUAAAAUCAUACAAAUAUUACAAAAGGGUGAACUUUAUGAAGGGUCAUUUACCAGAUCCAGUAACUUCUCAAGUAGCUACAAUAAUGAAACCGAAGAACCUAUAUAUAUAUUUUCAGAUAUCAUUGACUUCUACACAUUUAAGCUGUAUGAUAUUGUUAUGAUAGUUCCUCAACCAACACAACCAAAGAGUCUGCACAGGGGUCGAAUGCAAUUUACUGUGAAACUAAGUGAUAUUCAAAACAGUGUAUAAUACAUAGUAAAAAGUUAAAUUUUAUUGUUACCUAGAUGAAGGUGCUUAUUUAGUAUUAUUUAAAAAUGUCAUAAUCUACCUAAAGUGAAUUUAAAGACUGAUUUGUUAUAUUACAUAU